GAUGAAGAACGUAGUGAAAUGCGAUAAGUAAUGUGAAUUGCAGAAUUCAGUGAAUCUUCGAAUCUUUGAACGCACAUUGCGCCCAUUAGUAUUCUAGUGGGCAUGCCUGUUCGAGCGUCAUUAAGUCCACUUAAGCCCUGCUUAGUGUUGGGAGACUGCUCCAGCGGUGCUACCCUGUAGCUACCCUGCAGCUCCUCAAAGACAGCGGCGGAGUUGUGGUAUCCUCUGAGCUUAGUAACUUGUUCUAGCUUUCGAGUACACCACUUCCCCUGCCGUAAAACCCUUAAUUUUUAAUGGUUGACCUCGGAUCAGGUAGGAAUACCCGCUGAACUUAAGCAUAUCAAUAAGCGGAGGA
rnacentral:misc_RNA from 1 species